rnacentral:rRNA from 1 species
AAUCUUCGGCAAUGGGGGAAACCCUGACCGAGCAACGCCGCGUGAGUGAGGAAGGUCUUCGGAUCGUAACGCUCUGUUGCCAGGGAAGAACGGCCUGGGGAGCGAAUGCCCCGGGGGUGACGGUACCUGAGAAGAAAGCCCCGGCUAACUACGUGCCAGCAGCCGCGGUAAUACGUAGGGGGCAAGCGUUGUCCGGAAUUAUUGGGCGUAAAGCGCGCGCAGGCGGUCCUUUAAGUCUUGUGUUUAAUCCCGGGGCUCAACCUCGGUACGCAUGGGAAACUGGGGGACUGGAGUGCAGGAGAGGGAAGCGGAAUUCCACGUGUAGCGGUGAAAUGCGUAGAGAUGUGGAGGAACACCAGUGGCGAAGGCGGCUUCCUGGCCUGUAACUGACGCUGAGGCGCGAAAGCGUGGGGAGCAAACAGG